ensembl:lncRNA
AGAAACCAAGGGGUGGAGCUGGUCUAAAGCAAGGCAGACCUUUGUACAGUGGGUGUGAAGGAGGCAGAUAUGAAUACAGAUAUUCUCCUGAUUAAGAAAAUGAGGUGGGAGAACUCUCCUGUUGAUAUGGUAGAUUACAUUGAUUGAUUUUAGAAUAUUGAACCAGCUUCCAUCCCUGGGAUAAACCCCACUUGAUCAUAGUGUGGUGAUACUAACUUCAUAAAAUGAAUUGGAAAGUGUUCCUUUCUCUUAUGUUUUCUGGAAGAGGAUGUAUAAAAUUGAUGUUAAUUCUUAAUUAAGCAUUUGGUAGAAGUUUCCAGUGAAAUCAUCUAGAUAUUAACUGCAGACAUGAAAUUAGAAGAUGCUUACUCCUUGGAAGGAAAGUUCUGACCAAUCUAGACAGCAUAUUAAAAAGCAGAGACAUUACCUUGUCAACAAAGGUCCGUCUAGUCAAGGCUAUGGUUUUUCCAGUGGUCAUGUAUGGAUGUGAGAGCUGGACUAUAAAGAAAGCUGAGCACCAAAGAAUUGAUGCUUUUGAACUGUGAUGUUUGAGAAGACUCUUGAGAGUCCCCUGGACUGCAAGGAGAUCCAACCAGUCCAUCCUAAAGGAGAUCAGUCCUGGGUGUUCAUUGGAAGGACUGCUGUUGAAGCUGAAACUCCAAUACUUGGGCUACCUAAUGCGAAGAGCUGACUCAUUUGAAAAGACCCUGAUGCUGGGAAAGAUUGAGGGCAGGAGGAGAAGGGGAUGACAGAGGAUGAGAUGAUUGGAUGGAAUCACCGACUUAAUGGACAUGGGUUUGGGUGGACUCUGGGAGUUGGUGAUGGACAGGGAGGCCUGGCAUGCUGCGGUUCAUGGGGUUGCAAAGAGUCAGACAGGACUGAGCGACUGAACUGAACUGAAACAUUGUAUAAUGUCCCUGUCUGACUUUGGUAAUUUUUUGCUUUGAAAUCAGCUUUAUCUGAUAUCAAAACAGCCACUCCGUCUUUCUUUUGAUUAGUAUUUUGCAUGUGUUGCCCUAAAGGUCCAGGAGCAAGCGAUGAGAAUGAAAACAAAACACGAAAUCUGGUGCAGGGGGCCAGGGGACCUGUAGCUUCUACUGGAC